GACGUAGGGGGCCAGCGUUGCUCGGAAUUACUGGGCGUAAGGGUCCGUAGGCGGUUGCGGUAAGUCGGGAGUGAAAUCUCUGGGCUUAACUCAGAGGCUGCUUCCGAAACUACCGUGCUAGAGUGCGGAGAGAGGCAAGUGGAAUUGCGGGUGUAGCGGUGAAAUGCGUAGAUAUCCGCAGGGAACAUCCGAGGCGAAAGCGGCUUGCCUGGAUCGACAACUGACGCUGAGGGACGAAAGCUAGGGGAGCAAACAGG
rnacentral:rRNA from 1 species